GCAUAAAAGUAAUAUCACAACCGAGCAUUGUAUUUGGUUUAUAAAAAAAUGAUCCUUAUGUAAUUUUUGGUACAAAUUUUUGUCUAUUACUAAUGUUCUAAAUAGUAUUGUUGAUUUAAUUCGGCGUAUUGGAUUAAGGGGGCACACGAACAGGCGAGCCAACUGAUGGUAAGUGGUCAUCGCCGCCCAUGAACACUUGUGGAGCCUGAAGACUCUAGAGUGCGUUGCCGGCCUUGUUCAUGAGAUUAGUGGGAUGCGAUACGACAUCCUCGUGAAUUAUUGAGGCCAAAAUCAAUCGGGUUCAAUGUAUGCCGAGCGGACGUCAUAGUUUGCUUCCAUAAAGCUUUUUUUAUGAACACUAUAUAUUCAAAGAGAUUCAAAGGAUUUUGAAUAGCUAAUACUCGCAAAUAUUUUUUUGUUAUACCUGAGUUUUUUUGGUUUGACAUGAAAAAGUCAGGAAUUUGAGAAUAAAUUCAUGUGUAUUGAAAUAUAUUCCUUGAAUUCAUAUAUUCUAAUUUAUAAUUUUAAUAUAUUAUCAUAUUAUAUUUAUAAACAAAAUUGGAUGACAGCGUCAUAGUGUGCAUAUUUACAACAUACAUCGCAAUAUAUUAACAUAAAUUUUGUAUGCAAUAUAGUGGAAAGCCAACAAGUGUGUCAAUUAAAAUCAGAAUCUAUUUAUAAACUAGACCUUAUUGUGUAUAGUUAAACAACAUUAAGGACAUUUCUAAACCAUUCGUUUGUAUAUAAAUUCAAAAUAACAUGAAUUUAACAAAGAUUUAAGAUUACAAAUUUAAAUGCUAUCUAUUUUGACUGCACAUAAGCUGAUAGUAAACUUUAUUGCAACUAACUAAAUAGUCAGCCUACCAACUGAAUACUCGCUAUUUUCGCUUUAUUAAAAAUUUCACUUUUACCUGUUUUAUUUUUAUAUUUACAGGGAUAAUUAUAUAUAGCUUCAUGCCAUUUACAACUCAAGCGAUGGUAACUAGUACUCAAACGGUGUCCUUCUACUAAGCGUUGAUAUUUAAAAAGAUAUUAACAUCAUUAAAAAUAUUUAUCAAUCAUACAUUUCUUCAAAUCACUGUUCAUAUUUAUUAUCAAUAAUAAAUUUGAAAUGGUAUUUAUAAAAAAAAAUUAAAACUUCAAAUACAAAAUAAAUAGUUAAAUGUAUAAUGGAUUACCAGAACCUAACUACAAAAUUAGAUAGUGGCCUUAGCCGACGUAAAAGGCAACUUUAAUUUUAGAAAAAUUUAUUCAACACUCUAGGGACCGCGCCAGGCCAGACCGACCAGACAUUUAUUAUCUUUUGUCGAGUCAGAGCCAGCGACGGCAGCGCCGGAGAGGCCUCCUGCUAACGACAUAUUUUCAUUGUCGUUUUCACGUUAAGCUGAU